GGCUGCUCUGAAGGUAGUGAGUUAUUUCAAUUGAUUGUUAUGGUUAGAAAUCGAACUUCUUUUUCUAUUCUUUCCCCUAUUUUCUCACUAGUGUACUUGAGUAGUCUUAA
rnacentral:Y_RNA from 1 species